CCCUUAGAUGUUCUGGGCCGCACGCGCGCUACACUGAUGCAUUCAACGAGUCUAAAACCUGCUCUGAUAGGGGUGGGUAAUCUUUUGAAUGUGCAUCGUGAUUGGGAUAGAUGAUUGCAAUUUUUCAUCUUCAACGAGGAAUGCCUAGUAAACGCAAGUCAUCAGCUUGCAUUGAUUACGUCCCUGCCCUUUGUACACACCGCCCGUCGCUCCUACUGAUUGAAUGAUCCGAUGAAUAUCAUGGAUUGAGGAUGCAAGUAGGUUAGCCUAUCUUCAUCUUCGAGAAGUGAAGUAAAUCUUAUCAUUUAGAGGAAGGAGAAGUCGUAACA
rnacentral:rRNA from 1 species